UUCUCUUCUCCUCUCCGUUAAUUAAUUCUUCAUUGCACAGUAGGGUUUUUUUUUUUUUUGGGUUGAUAAUAUAGUCUCUGUUACUCCUCAUUAUUCCUUGACUGCGCUCGCUGCUUCCAUCUCUGAUCAUCAGCUUCAAGCUCUGCUUUCAUUGAGGAAUGAAGAGGGAUUCCUUUGGCAAAAGAGUAGAAGACGACGAAGAAGCUCUCAAGUGGACAGCACUUGAGAGGCUUCCAACGUACAAAUGACUAAGAAAAGGAAUACUCGACACUUGCACAAUUGAUGUACACCAUCUUAGUAUUGACCAAAAACAGAAUUUGAUUGAGAAGCUGGUCAAGGUGCCUGAGGAACAGAAUGAAACUUUCUUAACCAAACUGAAGAAUCGCAUUGACAAGGUUGGAAUUGAGCUACCUACUGUUGAAGUGCGUUUUGAACAUCUCAAUGUUGAGACAGAUAUUUACGUGGGAGAAAGAGCUCUACCUUCAUUCAUUAACUUCACGACGAAUGUUGUUGACGCCGUUUUUCGUCAACAGUGAAAUAAGAGCACGAAAACAAUAAUCAGUAAUAGCCAAUAAAAAUAUGAUAACACAAACGAGAUUUUUUACGUGGUUCAGCAGUUAAAUCUGCCUAGUCCACGAGUCUUUGUUAUUAAACUUAAGAUGAUCUCUGAAAAUUCUUCAAGGAUGAAUUCUCCAGAGUUUUCUCUCAAGAUCACAAAAAUUCGGUCAUUUACAAUGGUGCAUGACCUCUCUAUUUAUA